rnacentral:rRNA from 1 species
CGGGUGAGUAACGCGUGAGUAACCUGCCCUGGAGGGGGGGACAACAGUUGGAAACGACUGCUAAUACCGCAUAAGCCCACGGCUCGGCAUCGAGCAGAGGGAAAAGGAGCAAUCCGCUUUGAGAUGGCCUCGCGUCCGAUUAGCUAGUUGGUGAGGUAACGGCCCACCAAGGCGACGAUCGGUAGCCGGACUGAGAGGUUGAACGGCCACAUUGGGACUGAGACACGGCCCAG